UACGAGAACUCUUCUGCUUGCAGAAGAUAGUAAAGUGGCGCACGGGUGAGUAACGCGUGGGUAAUCUACCUCCGAAUUGGGGAUAACCCCGCGAAAGCGGGGCUAAUACCGGAUAAUAUCUUUUAUAUUUCGGCAUUAAAGAUCAAAGGUGGUCUCUACAUGUAAGCUACUGUUUGGAGAUGAGCCCGCGUGCCAUUAGCUUGUUGGUAGGGUAAUGGCCUACCAAGGCUACGAUGGCUAGCUGGUCUGAGAGGAUGAUCAGCCACACUGGAACUGACACACGGUCCAGACUCCUACGGGAGGCAGCAGUGAGGAAUUUUGCGCAAUGGGGGAAACCCUGACGCAGCAACGCCGCGUGAGUGAUGAAGGCUUUCGGGUCGUAAAGCUCUGUCAAGUGGGAAGAACAUGCUCGAUGUUAAUACCAUCGUGCACUGACGGUACCACUGAAGGAAGCACCGGCUAACUCCGUGCCAGCAGCCGCGGUAAUACGGGGGGUGCAAGCGUUAUUCGGAAUUAUUGGGCGUAAAGGGCGCGCAGGCGGUCUCUUAAGUCAGAUGUGAAAGCCCGGGGCUCAACCCCGGAAGUGCAUUUGAAACUAAGGGACUUGAGUAUGGGAGAGGGAAGUGGAAUUCCUGGUGUAGAGGUGAAAUUCGUAGAUAUCAGGAGGAACACCGGUGGCGAAGGCGACUUCCUGGACCAAUACUGACGCUGAGGCGCGAAGGCGUGGGGAGCAAACAGGAUUAGAUACCCUGGUAGUCCACGCAGUAAACGGUGAACACUAGGUGUAGCGGGUAUUUACCCCUGCUGUGCCGCAGCUAACGCAUUAAGUGUUCCGCCUGGGGAGUACGGUCGCAAGAUUAAAACUCAAAGGAAUUGACGGGGGCCCGCACAAGCGGUGGA
rnacentral:rRNA from 1 species